rnacentral:rRNA from 1 species
CAACCUACCUUCAAGAGGGGGAUAGCUUCGAGAAAUCGAAAUUAAUACCGCAUAACAUAUUGGAUAGGCAUCUAUUUAAUAUCAAAACUACGGUGCUUGAAGAUGGGCAUGCGUGACAUUAGCUAGUCGGUGAGGUAAUGGCUCACCAAGGCUACGAUGUCUAGGGGGCCUGAGAGGAUGAUCCCCCACACUGGUACUGAGACACGGACCAG